GUAGCUGACAGGGAGGAACCUGGUGGUGGGCAUCUGGUUAGGUACCCUCAGCCUCUGUUCUAGUCGACUUCAGUGAAGAUUUGACCUCAGGGAAGAUUAGCAUGGCAGGUCAGCUCAACCAGUUUAAUCCAGUAUACCAGUAGGGAGAAAAGACUGAAGAUUCCCUCCAAGGAAGAGCAGUUUAAAUGUCCUUAGUCCAAUAAACCAACAGAUGAGCUAGUAUAUAGUCACAGGGGAUAAAAUGAGUUAAAAAUGAGGUAACAAUUGAAAGAUUCUACAGAGAUAGAAACGAAAGAACAGAAACAAAAAAGACAACAGGAUCCAAGGAACUUUAAACAAAACAUCAAAAAAUCAAAGGAAUUGGAUUCAGGGUCUGGAAGAUCUCAAAAAGGAAUUAAAAAAUCAAAUAACAUAUGUUGAAGAAAAAUGGGAAAAGAAAAACAACAGCUUAAAAAUCAAAAUAGGUCAUCUGGAAACAGAGACACAUGAAUUAAAACAAGAAAAUAGUUUGUUAAAAGUCAGAAUUGAUAAAUUGUAAAAUGAGGCAAGAAAGCAAAGGAUGAAAAGAAUGAUUUGAAAAGAUGAGUGGACCAAAUAUAAAGGGAGGAUCAAAAAGGAAUGGAAGAAAUGUGGUCUUUAAAAUUAGAAUUGGGAAAUUGGAAACUAAUGAUUUCACAAGAUAUCAAGAAACAAUAAAACAAAAUAAAUACAAUGAAAAAAAUAGAAGAAAAUAUGAAAUAACUCAUUGAGAAAAUAACUGAGCUGGAAAAAUAGAUCCAGGAGAGACAAUUUAAGAAUUAUGGGAUUACUUGAAAGUCAUGAACAAAACAAAACAACAGAAAAAAAAAGCCUAGACAUCAUAUUACAGGAAAUCAUCCAAGAAAAUUGUCCUGAUAUUUUUGAACAAGAGGGUAAAAAAGAGGUUAAAAGAACCAACAGAUUAACUCCUGCAUUAAAUCCCCAAAAGACAGUUCCAAGGUAUGUUAUAGUCAAGUUCAAGAGCUCCAAGGCCAAGGAGAAAAUUCUACAAACAGCUAGAAAGGAACAAUUAAGAUAUCAUGGAGCCCAAGUGUUAUUACACAAGAGGCUUGAGCUCUAUCAGCAUUGAUUUCAUCACCUAGUGACUGAGUGGUUAGAUAGGAUGGCCAACAGUCCUUCAAACUCUAGAUCUGAAAUAAUGGUUAGAGAAUAAACUGCAUUUCCAACCUAAAGUUUUGACUUGU
rnacentral:lncRNA from 1 species